UUUUAUAUAGUUUUAAUAAAAACAUUUUAUUUUCAUUAAAAAAAAGACUUAUUUUUAGUCUAUAAAUA
rnacentral:tRNA from 1 species